AGCGAACGCUGGCGGCAGGCCUAACACAUGCAAGUCGAACGAACCUUUCGGGGUUAGUGGCGGACGGGUGAGUAACACGUGGGAACGUGCCUUUAGGUUCGGAAUAACUCAGGGAAACUUGUGCUAAUACCGAAUGUGCCCUUCGGGGGAAAGAUUAAUCGCCUUUAGAGCGGCCCGCGUCUGAUUAGCUAGUUGGUUGAGGUAAUGGCUCACCAAGGCGACGAUCAGUAGCUGGUCUGAGAGGAUGAUCAGCCACAUUGGGACUGAGACACGGCCCAAACUCCUACGGGAGGCAGCAGUGGGGAAUCUUGUGCAAUGGGCGAAAGCCUGACGCAGCCAUGCCGCGUGAAUGAUGAAGGUCUUAGGAUUGUAAAAUUCUUUCACCGGGGACGAUAAUGACGGUACCCGGAGAAGAAGCCCCGGCUAACUUCGUG
rnacentral:rRNA from 1 species